GACGAAGGAUGCAAGCGUUAUCCGGAUUCAUUGGGUUUAAAGGGAGCGUAGGCGGAUAGGUAAGUCAGUGGUGAAAUCCCAUCGCUUAACGAUGGAACUGCCAUUGAUACUGCUUAUCUAGAGUACAGUUGCCGUUGGCGGAAUAUGACAUGUAGUGGUGAAAUACUUAGAUAUGUCAUAGAACACCGAUUGCGAAGGCAGCUAACGAAGCUGUAACUGACGCUGAGGCUCGAAAGUGCGGGGAUCAAACAGG
rnacentral:rRNA from 1 species